UUGAACGCUGGCGGCAUGCCUUACACAUGCAAGUCGAACGGUAACGGGCCUUCGGGUGCCGACGAGUGGCGAACGGGUGAGUAAUACAUCGGAACGUGCCCGAUCGUGGGGGAUAACGAGGCGAAAGCUUUGCUAAUACCGCAUACGAUCUACGGAUGAAAGCAGGGGACCGCAAGGCCUUGCGCGGACGGAGCGGCCGAUGGCAGAUUAGGUAGUUGGUGGGAUAAAAGCUUACCAAGCCGACGAUCUGUAGCUGGUCUGAGAGGAUGAUCAGCCACACUGGGACUGAGACACGGCCCAGACUCCUACGGGAGGCAGCAGUGGGGAAUUUUGGACAAUGGGCGCAAGCCUGAUCCAGCCAUGCCGCGUGCAGGAUGAAGGCCUUCGGGUUGUAAACUGCUUUUGUACGGAACGAAAAGCCUUCUUUUAAUACAGGAGGGUCAUGACGGUACCGUAGGAAUAAGCACCGGCUAACUACGUG
rnacentral:rRNA from 1 species